rnacentral:rRNA from 1 species
GAUAACGCGGCGCCGGCGGCGGCGGUAAUACGUGGGGUGCAAGGUGGUAGCGGAAUUAGUGGGGGGAAAGGGGUCGUAGGCGGUUCGUGGGGUCCGGUGUGAAAGGCCAUCGGUUAACGGUGGAUCCGCGCCGGGUACGGGCGGGGUUGAGGGCGGUAGGGGAGACUGGAAUUCCCGGUGUAACGGUGGAAUGUGUAGAUAUCGGGAAGAACACCAAUGGCGAAGGCAGGUCUCUGGGCCGUUACUGACGCUGAGGAGCGAAAGCGUGGGGAGCGAACAGGAUUAGAUACCCCUGUAGUC